CUAACUUCCAGCUUCGAAAUAGGACUAAAGAUGAACUAUGCUCCUGGCACCCCCUGUUGAGAGCCCAAGUUCAGCAGAUUGCGGCCAUGGGGGACUGAAAAUGGAACCCUGGACAAAGACACUUGCUGGGUGACCCAAGGCAAGGACUUUCCAUGCACACUAUGAAUGCCAAAUGCUGUGAAUACCAACCCAUGCUUUCAAAGAGCCUGCUGCCUCAGAGCAUGUGAUGUGGAACUUUCUGGUGGCCUGGGCGUGGAGGUUCUCAACCUCAGCUGCACACUG
rnacentral:lncRNA from 1 species